rnacentral:lncRNA from 1 species
GGAGAGACAAAUGCAAGAUCCCUGGCUGCAGUGGUAGUAUCACACAGGUAAUGGUAUAAAGCAAAUGCAAUGUACAGCAAUGUUUCACAUCCAACGAGAAUUGUCUGUACAAGUUCUAAACGAAGCCAUUGGUGCCUUGGGGUGAAGCUCACUUCCGGGGUUCUAGCUAGUGUUACCUCCCUAUUCAAUGAGUUGCCAUUUUUU